ACUCGGCUCCAGGUAUCCUGGAGGAAAGAACGAACUUCUCCUGGGCCCAGAAGUUUAGGUCCGCUGUCGUCCCCCGCCUGCCUCUAAGGCCCUCUCCUCGCGACAGCCUCUGAAACCAUCGGCUCCUUCCUCAUUUCUGUCACGGCCUGGCUUGCAUUCCAAGCCAGGCACUCAUUUCAUGUUUAUUGUUCCAGCUGGACUAGGGGUACUUAAACCGUGGUCCAUGGCUGGGCUUCCGGGGCCGUGACCCCCUUAAAUUAUAUGCAGUAUGUAGCUUGUUGUGGGUGGCUUCUGUCACACUUAAAUGCUGGGUGCCAUCACAGGACUGGCAGGGCCCUACUGUGGUCGUCAGUGCGCUCUUUGUCAGCACAGAGCCUGACGCAAAUGUCCAAAGGUGCUAAUUAGACAGAGGCAAAUAUCCCAACUGUUGCCCUCUGCACACACCUCGGUCUACUCUUUUAAGACUACUUGCUGUUACCUGCACACACCUUUAUUUAUUUAUUUAUUUAUUUAUUUAAUUUUUGAGACAGGGUCUCGCUCUGUCGCCCAGGCUGGAGUGCAGUGGCGCGAUCUCGGCUCACGGGCUCAAGCGACCCUCCUGCCUCAGCCUCCCGAACAGCUGGGACUACAGGCCUGCGUCACCACGCCCGGCUAGUGGUUUUUUUCUUUUUUUUUUUUUCUUGAGACGGAGUCUUGCUCUGUCGCCCAGGCUGGAGUGCAGUGGCGCCAUCUCGGCUUACUGCAACCUCCGCCUCCCAGGUUCAAGCGAUUUUCCUGCCUCAGCCUCCCGAGUAGCUGGGAUUAUAGGCGCUCGCCACCACACCCGGCUAAUUUUUGUAUUUUUAGUAGAAACGGGGUUUCACCAUGUUGGCCAGGCUGGUCUCGAACUCCUGACUGCCUCGGCCUCCUAAAAGUGCUGGGAUUACAGGCGCGAGCCACUGCGCCCGGCCUAGUUUUUGUAUUUUUUGUAGAGACGGGGUUUCGCCAUGUUGCCCAGGGUGGUCUUGAAUUCCUGAGCUCAAGUGAUCCUCCCGCCUAGGCCUUCCAAAGUGCUGGGAGUACGUGAGCCACCGCUCCUGGCCCUGCACACAGCUUUUGAUUGUACGCCUUCCUUCUGUCAUCAUGCUGUUCUCUCUGACCGAACAAAUCUCUCUUCAUCUUUCUAUCAAACAUCGAUUGAGUUUGAGCGAGGGCGUGGAGGGGUUGAGCACAGUGCCAGGCACUGGAAGCACGUUGGUGAACAAGACAAGCCUGGGCAAUGUUCCCACAGAGCUCACGAUCUAGCGGGGGAGACAGGUUGGAGAUAGGGGAGAGGCUGCGGGCGUCUCAGAUCUGGCACCAGAGAGAUCCUAGACUCCAGGAUAAGCAGUCAAUAGCUAGGUCAGGGCUGGGCGCGGUGGCUCACGCCUGUAAUCCCAGCACUUUGGGCGGCCGAGGCAGGUGGGUCACGAGGUCUGGAGUUCAAAACCAGCCUGGCCAACAUGGUGAAACCCCAUUUCUACUAAAAACACAAAAAUUAGUCGGGCGUGGUGUCGGGUGCCUGUAAUCCCAGCUACUUGGGAGGCUGAGGGAGAAGAAUCGCUUGAACCCGAGAGGCGGAGGUUGCAGUGAACCGAGAUGGAGCCACUGUACUCCAGCGUGGGCGACAGAGCAAGACGCAACUCUGUCUCGGGGGAAAAAAAAAAAAAAAAAAAAAAGCCAAGUCAGGGCAAGAUGUGAAAUAGCACGUUGGAAGGCUCCUGGGUAAGAUUUGACCUGUCACAAGAGGAGAGAAGGUAGCCGGGGCAGCGAUUUGAUUUCCGGAAUGGUGGUUGCUAGGCAGUGUUCGGAAUGGAUCAGAUGGGUGUUUUUGUAAGAUCCCUCUGGCUGUUAAUGUUAGGGGUGCAAGGGCAGGAGGGAGUUGGGCAGCCAGAGGCGGAAAGAGAACAGCCAGAACAGAGGCUGGAUGUAGAAUUCUGAACAUGUGUGGGAACCUUUCUGGGCCUCAAUUUGUCCAUCUGUAAAUUGGGAGGUAGACUCAAUCUUUACGGUCCUCCCACCUCUGAUUAAAAUUUAGCAACAGUCAGCCGGGCGCGGUGGCUCACUCCUGUAAUCCCAGCACUUUGGGAGGCCGAGGUGGGCGGAUUGCCUGAGCUCAGGUGUUGGAGACCAGCCUGGGCAACACGGUGAAACCCCGUCUCUACUAAAAUACAAAAAAAUUAGCCGGGCGUGGUGGCGGGCACCUGUAGUCCCAGCUACUCGGGAGGCUGAGGCAGGAGAAUGGCUUGAACCCAGGAGGUGGAGGCUGCAGUGAGCCGAGAUCGCGCCACUGCACUCCAGCCUAAGCGACAGAGCAAGACUCCGUCUCAAAAAAAAAAAAAAAAGAAAACUUAGCAACACUUCAGGUAGGUGAGAAUUUACAAGUGGUUAAAACAGGGGAGAAAGAUAAUGGGAAAGAAAGAAGGCAGGAGGGAUGGAGGAAACAAAGGGGAUACCUGCGAAAGAAGGGACUCCAGUGAAAAAUCACAAAGGCUUGGUCAAUGUCAUGUGAUUAGCCCAGCUGUCAAUUAUAGAAGUUAGGAUUCUGUCUUCCCACAGAGACUGGAGGAGUCUAACCUUCCUCAUGAUUACAUUUCAAAAGGACGGCUUUCAGGUCCUAAAGAAAGACACUCCUGAGCUGAAGGAGAUAGAUAUACAUCUCAAAGGGAUAGAGGCGGGAUUCGUAUUUGCAAGCCAUUUUUAGUAAAUGCUCAAAGGGAGGGCCCAGGAGUCUUUCAUUAGGUGUUGGCUAAAACAAAUAGUAAAUUCUUCUGGCAUCAUUGAGCUUCUCUGGCAGGCAUUGUAACGGGGGUGCUGGGAUCAUCCUAGGAACUUGUGCUUCUAGAAGCAUGCUACUCUUUGGUCAUCUCUUAGUGCAGAGGUUAGAAUGGAGUUGUCAUGUGCUGAGAGGUCUGCAGUUCUCAGGGUGCACUUUUUUUUUUUUUCCUUUUUUGAGAUGGAGUCUCCCUCUGUUGCCUAGGCUGGAGUGCCAUGGCACAGUCUUGGCUCACUGCACCCUCCACCUCCCAGGUUCAGGGAGUUCUCCUGCCUCAGCCUCCCGAGUAGCUGGGACUACAGGUUCAUGACACCACACCCGGCUAAUUUUUGUAUUUUUUUUUUUUUUUGGUAGAGAUGGGGUUUCACCAUGAUGCACUUUUAUUCAUUUAGUAAUUUCUUCACGGCUUCUAUGUCUUUUUCAUUAUGGAGAAUGAUGCUGUCAUGAGCAUUCUUGGGCUUGUAGCUGUCAUUCUUUUGUGCAAGUGCUGGUGGCUAAAUUCCUAGAAGCAGAAUUGCAGAGUCAAAAGGUAUGACAUUUUAGACAUUUUAAAUGUUUAGCAUUUUAAACAUUUUAAACAUUACCUAAUUACCCUUCCAAAGAGUUGUACAAAUCUGCGUAGCCAUCAACAAUAAACUAAAAUGCUCUUUCCUCCCAUCUUCCCCACUACCAUUGGAAUCUCUUGUCCCACCAGGGCUGCUAAUUUCUUUUUUUAUUUUGUCUUUUUUUUUUCCUUUUUGUGGAGAACGGGGUCUUGCUAUAUUGCCCAGGCAGGUCUCGAACUCCUAGGCUCAAGCUAUUCUCCCGCCUCUGCCUCCCUAAGAGCUGGGGUUAUAGGUGUGAGCCACCGCGCUCAGCCUCUUUUUUUUUUUGGCUCUGGUUGCCCAGGCUGGAGUGCAAUGGCGUGAUCUCGGCUCACUGCAACCUCCGCUUCCCAGGUUCAAGUGAUUCUCCUGCCUCAGCCUCCCAAGUAGCUGGGAUUACAGGCAUGUGCCACCAUGCCUGGCUAAUUUUUUGUAUUUUUAGUAGAGACAGGGUUUCUCCAUGUUGGUCAGGGUGGUCUCGAACUCCUGACCUCCGGUGAUCUGCCCUCCUCGGCCUCCCAAAGUGCUGGGAUUACAGGCAUGAACCACGGUGCCCAGCCAGGGCUGCUAAUUUCAGUGGACCCCUUUCCCUCUCAGAGCCUUUUUCUCAGUGUGAAAUGGGGAUAGGACAAUGAUAUUAAUGACAGCAGGUGUCAUCUGCUGAGCUUCCUCUGCCUGCUUUACAUGAUCCUCCUGAAGACAUACUUUUUUUGGUUGGUAGGCUAUUAAUUAUUGCCUCAAGUUCAGAGCCUGUUAUUGGUCUAUUCAGGGAUUCAACUUCUUCCUGGUUUAGUCUUGGGAAUUAUUAUCUCCUUUCCACGGAUGAGACCACUGAGAGGCAAAUGGAGCUGAAAUUGCAACUCCACUCUGACAUCAAGAAACUCUUCUUGGCUGGGUGCAGUGGCUCACACCUGUAAUCCCAGCACUUUGGGAGGCCAAAGAGGGCGGAUCGAUUGAGCUGAGGAGUUUGAGACCAGCCUGGGCAACAUGGCAAAGACCAUGUCUUUACAACAAAUAUAAAAAUUAGCUGUGCCUGGUGGUGUGUGCCUGUAGUCCCUCCACACAAGAGGCUGAGGUGGGAGGAUCGCUUGGACCAGGGAGGCGGAGGUUGCAUGGAGCCAGGAUCGUGCCACUGCACUCCAGCCUGGGUGACAGAGUGAGACCCGUCUCAUAAAAAGAAAAGAAACUUGGCUGGGCGCGUUGGCUCACGCCUGUAAUCCCAGCACUUUGGAAGGCCAAGGCAGGCAAAUCAUGAGGUCAGGAGAUUGAGACCAUCCUGGCUGACACUGUGAAACCCCGUCUCUACUAAAAACACAAAAAAUUAGCCGGGCGUGGUGGUGGGCACCUGUAGUCCCAGCUACUCGGGAGGCUGAGGCAGAAGAAUGCAGUGAGCAGAGAUCACGCCACUGCACUCCAGCCUGGGUGACAGAGUGAGACUCC
rnacentral:lncRNA from 10 species